ACUAGCUACCACUAUCAGCUCAAUUUCUUACCAAAAGUAUCCUAUCUGCAAGAUUCUGUGUUCAUGCAUGUAGCAUUGCGCUUCUAGAUUCCUCAAGGAGCCACUCAGGAGUAGCUCGUGAUUUUCAACUACAUUGGCAAGCACAUUUUGAAAGAAAAAGGCACACACACACAAAUAGCUGGGGCAAGCUAAAAAUAUCUCAUGAUCUUCUUAGCAUUGGCAGGAUAGAACACAGGCGAUGGCCACAGCUCACAAGUACAGUAACUAGUAGGCACAAAACUAAGAACAUAACAGAAGAGCAAAGAUAAACUGUUCAACAUUAUUUGAUGGCAACGUGCUGCUGGCUGCGACUACUAGUGAUGCAGGCGU
rnacentral:lncRNA from 1 species